AGGAGUAGAUGGGUGCUGGUGUACCUCAUGGUCUUCAAAACCAGUGUGACGCCUUAAAGAGGUGUCGGGUGGAUUCGAUUCUCAAAUACUCCCGCCA
rnacentral:tRNA from 1 species